CUGGGCGUAAGAGCGCGUANGUGGUUAAGUAAGUCUGAUGUGAAAUCCCACGACUUAAUCGUGGAACUGCAUUGGAUACUGCUAAACUAGAGUAUAGGAGAGGUAAGCGGAAUUCCAGGUGUAGAGGUGAAAUUCGUAGAUAUCUGGAGGAACGACAGAGGCGAAGGCGGCUUACUGGACUAUUACUGACACUGAGGCGCGAAAGCGUGGGGAGCGAACGGGAUUAGAUACCCCGGUAGUCCACGCCGUAAACGAUGGACACUAGACGUCGGGAGUUCUUACCCUCUCGGUGUCGUAGUAAACGCGUUAAGUGUCCCGCCUGGGGAAUACGGCCGCAAGGCUAAAACUCAAAGAAAUUGACGGGGGCCCGCACAAGCGGUGGAGUAUGUGGUUUAAUUCGAUGCAACGCGAAGAACCUUACCUGGGCUUGACAUCCCGGGCUACCCUGUGAGAGCAGGGGUUCCCUUCGGGGACCCGGUGACAGGUGAUGCAUGGCUGUCGUCAGCUCGUGUCGUGAGAUGUUGGGUUAAGUCCCGCAACGAGCGCAACCCUUGCCAUUAGUUGCCAGCAUUAAGUUGGGCACUCUAGUGGGACCGCUUGCCGACAAGGCAGAGGAAGGUGGGGAUGACGUCAAGUCCGCAUGUCCCUUACGUCCAGGGCUACACACGUACUACAAUGGCCGUUACAAAGCGUCGCGAGACCGCGAGGUGGAGCAAAUCGCANAAAGACGGUCUUAGUUCGGAUUGGGGUCUGCAACUCGACCCCAUGAAGCUGGAAUCGCUAGUAAUCGUGNAUCAGCAAUGCCACGGUGAAUACGUUCCCGGGCCUUGUACACACCGCCCGUCACGCCAUGGNAGCUGGCAGCGCCGGAANAGGCUGANCUAACCUUCGGGAGGCAAGUCUCAAUGGCGAANCUGGUAACUGGGGUGAAGUCGUAACAAGGUAGCCNUCUUGC
rnacentral:rRNA from 1 species